rnacentral:tRNA from 1 species
UUGAGGUUAUAGCUAAGUUGGUAAAGUGCUUGCCUUACAUGCACAAGGCCCUGGGUUCAAUCCCCAGCACCACAAA